rnacentral:rRNA from 1 species
UACGUAGGUGGCAAGCGUUGUCCGGAAUUAUUGGGCGUAAAGCGCGCGCAGGCGGUCCUUUAAGUCUGAUGUGAAAGCCCACGGCUCAACCGUGGAGGGUCAUUGGAAACUGGGGGGACUUGAGUACAGAAGAGAAGAGUGGAAUUCCACGUGUAGCGGUGAAAUGCGUAGAGAUGUGGAGGAACACCAGUGGCGAAGGCGACUCUUUGGUCGUGA